AGCGCUCAUAGGUUGAGCCAGGUUGAGCCAUAAUAAAUGCUGCUCGAGACCGCCUUCUAAUACCUUUAUAAUACCUAAUACCUAGAGCUUUUAUUUUUUAGGUUUGCUCGCAAGGAGCUCGCAAACAUUGAGCACAAUAAACGCUGUUCCAGACCGAAUCAUUGCUCUGUAUUGGGUUUGUCGAGCUCUUUUAUAAUACAUUUUACCAUUUUAAAUGGGAUGUUCAGCAACGAGUCUGACUGAAUCAGCGGCGUCAGUUUGGAAGAAUUAGAUGCAGACUGACUGUAGAAAUUAAUGCAUACAGAAAACUGCUGGAGCAUCAGAAACUACAGACCAGAAAUGGAGGCCAGAAAUGAGACACAAACCAGUGAAUCACAAGAGAAAAGCAGACCAACACUUCUUAGAUUUAACAGUAUGGAGAGAGAAAAACCAUUGUUCUCAGACGUUCCAGACGAGCCUGUAAAGUUUGAUUCCGACAUAAAAUCUGAGGUAAGAUUCUCGCAUCAAAACCCAUCAACAUGUUCUCAAGAACAAACAACAUCACUGAGACACCAGCGGCUGAAGAUCUGAACAACAACAAGAGACCCCAUCACUUCAGACUACAGCCUGUUCAGCUCCUUGAUCCUUUCAGGUUUUACAGACUCCUCUACAUACAAGCUAAUUAAAGACUUGAACAUCAUCUGGAUGGACUCAAUGCAUCAGGAUACAGUCUGUGAUGUUAAAACACUCACAGUUUGGUCUUGUAUAUUCCACACUGUCCUGAUGAUAAAUUCUUGUGAAUAUUUUCUUCUUUGAUUCUUUUGAAAAUUUAGAGUUUUUAAUCUUAGUUCAAUGUUUGUACAUAUCAUGCAUCUUCAUUUUCAUUUAAUACAUUUUUGCAUUUCUGUAUAUUGUGAUAUAUCUCUGGGGUUGUUUAUUUAUCUGUAUAUUUUUGUAUAAACAUACUUAUAUCACUGUAGCAUUUAUAUUUUAUAUGCACGAAUUGCUCAUCAUUUCACCCCAUUCUAAAUGGAUGCAACAGCCAAUGAAGGAUAAUAAAACUUUAGUACAUUUUAUCUGUAUAAUUGACAUAUGCAGAGCUCAUUUGAAUAUUUUGUAUUCAUUCUCAAACCACCCAAAGAUGCCACCCAACUCAACCAGGACUCUUCUUCCUACCCACUGAGCUUCUCCAAUUUAUACAAUAAAAUAAUAUAUUGUGUAAAACCUGUUUCUGGCAUUUGAAGCACAGAUGAUCAGCUCAAAAGCUUAUGCGGACCACAA